CCCACGUGGGCUAUGGCCAAGGCAGGGCCUCAAAGGACUGUGGUGUUUAAAUAACUGGUUCAAUGCCAACUUCCCUUAGCUUGGGAGCUGGAAGAUAGUGUUUUCUUUAAAGAGUUGAGUCUUCAUUUCAGACAUCCAGGGUAAACAUCUUCAGCUGAGUCUGGUUUUCAUACUCAGAAAAUAGAGCGAUGGUAUUCCUAGUCUGGUUGGUCAUCUGUUUAGUGACCUUAUCCUAGAAGCCAAACAUUGGGGUGUCAGAACUGGAAUCUUUAGGUAGAAAGAACAACCAUAUAUUUCCCUAGUUGUCUUCUUACUUCUGACUGAAGAGUGCCAGAAAAUAAGGGGCCAGGAUGUAGGGCAGCUGUAUGUACGAUGAGGCUGUGGUAGCUGCAACAGGAAGCAUGUUGGGAAUUGUUCUUAUAGUCAGAGUUCAAAAUUACAACUGGAAUUUCAGAAAACUUCAAACCCCUGUAAAAGGCAAACAUACCUUACUUAUGUCUUUCAAGUUUCAACGUGGCCACACAAAAUGGCUACUCCAGCUUGUUUCUUCAGA
ensembl:lncRNA